rnacentral:piRNA from 1 species
UAGUCAUGACUCAUUCCACAACUCGA